AUUAAAUUAAAAGUUAAAAUAUAACUGGCAGUCGAACGCCAAUAAAAUAAAAUAAAAUUAAAUUAAAAGUUAAAAUAUAACUGGCAGUCGAACGCAGUCAAAAAAAAAAAAAAAAAAAAAAAAAUGGAAACACAUAAAACAGAACAAGCAACCACAUCCACAUCCGACACUGUCAAUAGAAGCUGCAGCAAAUCAAACUCCAUCUGCUGCAACACGUCACUUGCCACAUAACAAUCCAACUUUUCAAUUACCACUAUCGGAAGCACUAAAAGAAGCAGCGAGAAUCCAGGAGUUCCGAGGAGAUAAUACAUACGACGUCACAUCAUUUAUUAAUGAAGUCGAACUUUUCAUCGACUUGUUUGCCGGUACCAACGUGGAGGAGUAUUUUUAUAAGCGGCACGUCCAAAAAAAAAUUCAAGGAGAAGCAGCUAACGCAAUUAGAGCCCUCGACAAUCCAAGCUGGACAGAAACAAAACAAGAACUCCUGAGGAAUUUUGGAGUUCGCGAAUCGUAUCAUCAACUGUACCACAAGGCGCUGAACGUAAGAAAUUAUAAUGGGCAAUGGACAUCAACAGGUAUAUUAAUCCUGAUGAUAAUACCACUAGUAAUGUCAACAUUAAUAAUCCAACCCAUCAACGAAAACCAUAA